rnacentral:rRNA from 1 species
AUUGAACGCUGGCGGCAGGCCUAACACAUGCAAGUCGAACGGUAACAGGAAGCAGCUUGCUGCUUCGCUGACGAGUGGCGGACGGGUGAGUAAUGUCUGGGAAACUGCCUGAUGGAGGGGGAUAACUACUGGAAACGGUAGCUAAUACCGCAUAACGUCGCAAGACCAAAGAGGGGGACCUUCGGGCCUCUUGCCAUCGGAUGUGCCCAGAUGGGAUUAGCUAGAGGUGGGGUAACGGCUCACCUAGGCGACGAUCCCUAGCUGGUCUGAGAGGAUGACCAGCCACACUGGAACUGAGACACGGUCCAGACUCCUACGGGAGGCAGCAGUGGGGAAUAUUGCACAAUGGGCGCAAAGCCUGAUGCAGCC